CCACCUCCAAUACUGUGUGUUCAAACUCAUCUGUAGCAUUGUAACAAUUUCUUGAGCUCUAAUAAUUGAAUCGAAAAUGUUCCUGACAACUCACAAGGAUUGAGUAUGACUGUAUGAUCGAGGAGUUAACACUUUCUCUCCUGAAGGCCGAUUGUUUCAAGUUGAAUAUGCCAUUGAAGCCAUCAAGUUGGGUUCCACAGUUCCACUGCAAUCACCAUAAAAAAUAAGGAAGGGGUGGUUCUUGCUGUGAGAAGCAAAUUACCUCUCCUCUUUUGGAGCCUAGCAACAUGGAGAAGAUUAUGGAAAUCGAUGAGCAUAGAGGCUGUGCUAUGAUUGGUUUAAUUGCUGAUGCCCGAACACUGGUUGAACAUGCCGAGUUGAAACUCAG